GAAGUACUUUCCGAUAAUGCGAAGGAUCUUCCGGCCACGUUUAUCUCUCCCCCGGAUCUUGAAAAUUUCGAGUUUCUCAACGAGUUGCUCCUGUUCGGAUGGCGAAGCUUGAGCACACAUGAUUUCUGAAUUUCAAAAAAGAUCGCACCGAAGAAGAAAGGGGAUAAAAUAAACAAAGCGGCGUGGAUAGGAACAGCAAUAUAAAGAAGAGAAGAGGAACUGGUUUGGGGUUAAUAUGGAAUGAUGACGAUCGGAUUUAUCCCUUCGGGGAGAAGAAAUUUUAGAAAUCGGAGAAAUCGCAGCAUGGUUCGGGGAAUAUUCUAAAGCAUGUUCCUUUUUGGACCAGGGCGAAUGACUCGGGAGGCUCUUGACAAAUGACGCGUGUAUGAAGUGGGACCCCUCGAGAAUUCAUCUAGGGUGGAGAGACCAUCUGGACCCUCCAAUUUAAUGAGAGGAAGGAGUUGGGGUAAUUAGGAUGAUUUCCAAAACUUGUGUGUGCGUUGCGAGAAUGUACGAGGGAGAUUAGACUUUUAAAAUUAAAUUUUGCUACAACUUAAAAUGUGAACGUUAAGGAGUAAUGUUUGGAUUUAUUAUUAUAAAAAUAAAAAGGCACAUAGUUAUUUUUCAUCUAUGAAUUGUCUUGAAUCCUAGGAAUGAGGUAUAGAUAUGCUAAUUAAUCAUGUUGGGAACUUGGGAAUGCCAUUAAAGUUUCGGAAUGACAUAUGAUUUUCAUGGUUAUAUUUAAUUUAAUACUUUAUAACUUUUUUUUAACUACAUUAUUUAUGAUUUAUUAUCAAAACCACUAAAAAUAUUUUUUAUAUAUAUAUAUAUAAAUAUCACUUUAUUUUCAUAAAAUUAUUCUUUUAUAAAAAAUAAUUAUUUAAAAAAAAGAGAGAGAAAAAAGAAAAAAGAAAAAAGAAAAAGAAGAUAAUUCUUAAAUAUGUUAGGUUAUUUCCUAAUGUGUUAUACUUUUAUAGUAAUAGAUGACAUCACUGUAAUAAAAUAUGAAUAAUAAUGUAAGUGUGGACCCUGCAUUUUUGUUCAAUGCGCUUCCACUCGAUAACAAACUCACUUUUUUAUUUGAAAAAUGAUUUAUUUAUUAAGAAAAUGAAUUGGAGUUGUCACUUAUUUUUCUUUUAUUUUUAAAGGGUGAACAAAAUAAGAAAGAAAACCAUAAGUGUGACUCCUUAUUUGGAAAAUGUGGUUCGUGGAAACCAAAUAUGAGCUUGAGGGUCAGAUUACUUAUUGAGAAGGUACGGUAAAGACAGUAGCAUUCCUCUAAGUCCCUAAAAAACGGGUCUUUACUAAUAAGAUGAAACAAUCAUGAUAAUUGGUAAGGAAAUCGAUGGAAACGAAAAUGAUCACACACUGAAAGUUAGAGCAUGCAUGGAGAAUGGUUAGAGUGAGAAUGGGUGCGUACCUUGGCAACAAACGACAAUGCGUUAUCAGGAAAUGAGGUCAGUGCACAAGAAUGAGCAUAAAAUAUGUUAUACGCAUCACUAAACAGAAUAUGAAACCACUAAUGGCACACAUGACACUUCACUCAAACUUAUUUUUAUUUUAAAGAAAACAUCACCAAUGUUGAGCCCUCACCAAAGCCCAAUUUAUUUUUGCAUGAAUCAAUUUCAUAAAUUCCAUCACUUGAAAUUAUGAAAUUUAAAUUUUAGAACAUUUUUAAAAACAGAGGAAAUGUGAAAAUUGCUUGCCAGAAGGAAAAAUGGCAACAAAAUUUUAUUAAAAACGGAAUUUUGAGGAACCUAAACAUUAAAGAGGGAUGAAGAGUUGAGAAUUAAAUCAUUUGAAAACUAGAUUUUCCAAAAAAUCAAUUUUGAAGUCAUGCAUGCAGGUAUGGGCAGUGAAAACGGGCCUAGAGAAAGUGGUCAUGCAAACCAAAAUCAUGCAAGUAGACCCGGAAUGCGAGCACUGAGGUUGGGUAUGGGAUAACCAAUGCAAGCGAGGUAACCAGAGAGAGAUCAACUACAAACUUCUCAAUGAGGUCCACAUCUGUAGGAUCAAAUGCCUCAGAGUUGAAAACCGGACCCUUAUCAUAAAUUGAUAGCAUUGUAAGACUAUAAGAGAAAGGUCCUAUUCCAAGCUUGGCAAGAUACUGGUCACUUGCUUUGCUUUUGACACCAGAAAGAUCUUUUGCACCUUUGGACCCCACUGCUUGGUUUUUCCAUAAAGUAAGAACUUCAAGGUUGACUUUCGGGGAGAACUGACACUUUAAUGAACCAGUACCACCAUUUUGGUCUGAUUAAGACUACUUGAAAUUUGAGAAGCUAUCGAAUCGCUAUCUUCAGAACCAUCAAAAUUGUUUUUUUAAUCCCACCGGGCAUCAUUAGCAUUCUUGGAUGAGGAAACAGUGCUCCAAAGACAUCACCCCAUAGGAACUCAUCAAUGGAGCAACACCUAUAAGUGGGGCAUCGAUAUUUAAAGUCAUGAACAUGCCACCGGAUUGAUUCAUGUUAGGGAAAGAUGACAAUAGCAUGCAUUGGGAUCGUGAUGAAUUCUCUUGAAGGUGAAAUGCUAGUUGAUGAAGGGUCUUCCUCACAAACUCCUCAUAACUUACUUGCCUAUCACCUUCUACAUCCACUUCUCGAAUCAAUCUCAUCCACCUCUUCAUCAGUCAACUUCUCACCGAGGUUUAUCAUUACAUACUAAAGCUCUGUAGUAGCAAUAAAUCCAUUUUGAUCAUUGUCAAAGACCUUGAAAACCUCUUUGAGUUCUUUUGGCAUUCGGAUUCGGUGACUAAGCAUCAUAAAUUACAGGUCUACUAUCGGUGACCGUACUCCUGACUUGCUGCACCUAAUUCACCAUUGUCCAACUUGCUGGCAGCUAGAAUAUGGCGAAGAUCACCAUUUACUUGUUGAUGAAGAAUUUGAAGAAAAAUAUGAAGAAUUUGAAGACAAAAUAUGGAGGAACACCUCAAUUCAUUUUGUGAUACCUUCCUUUACAAUGAAUGAAAGCAUAAAUAAAUAGCCUACGAAUAUGAGACAAUUUCGGAAUGGAAUUUCCCUUACAUGGAAAGUGAAUAAACUCUUACAUGGGAAGUGAAUAAACUACUCUUACAUGGAAAGUGAAUAAACUACCUUGCUAGAAUUACUCCUAAAUAUAUAAACUACUCUUACAUGGAAAGUGAAUAAACUACCUUGCUAGAAUUACUCCUAAAUCAAUUAUAAUAAAGGCUGUACAUUACACUAAUUAUGGAAGUAAACAGAGGAUGCUGGCUUGAUUUCCAACACUCCUCCUCAAGCCGCGUUGUAGAUGUUGAUCAUUCCAAGUUUUUCUGUCAGAUCUUCGAAGUUAACUCGAGCAAGAGCUUUUGUGAGAAUGUCAGCCGUUUGACAGUUUGUCGAAGUGUAGCUGACUUUGAAAACUCCUUCUUCAAUUUUUUCCUUGAUAAAGUGUCGAUCUAUCUCCACGUGCUUAGUUCGAUCAUGAUGAACCGAAUUCUUAGCGAUACUGAUGGCAGCUUGAUUGUCGCAGUAUAACACCAUGGGAUGCUUCAAUGGAACCCGUAAUUCUUCUAACAGCCUGUUCAACCAGCUUUCCUCGCAGAUACCUUGUGCCAUAGCACGAAAUUCUGCCUCAGCACUGCUACGGGCUAGCACUGACUAUUUCUUGCUUCGCCAUGUAACCAAGUUCCCCCAGACAAAUGAACAAUAGCCUGAAGUUGAUCUCCGAUCAGUCACUGAACCUGCCCAAUCUGCAUCUGAAAAAAUCUCAAUCUCUUUCUUUGUUGUUCUUUGAAAGAAGAGACCCUUUCCCGGUGUCAUCUUGAGGUAUCUCAAUAUUCUGAUCACAGCAGUCAUGUGUUUUUCGGUUGGAUUAUUCAUGAAUUGACUUACCACACUAACGGAGAAGCCGAUGUCUAGCCUUGUAUGAGAAAGAUAGAUGAGUUUCCCCACAAGACGUUGAUAUCUUCAUUUAUCAACUGGCGCACUUCCAUCACUUUCUUCCAGUUUGACAGUUGUAUCCAUAGGUGUUUCUACCGGCUUGCAUCCUAGCAUUUCUGUUUCAUUCAAUAAGUCCAGAACGUAUUUGCGUUGUGAGACUGCUAUACCUUUCUUUGACCUAGCAAUCUCCAUUCCGAGAAAGUACUUGAGGUUUCCAAGAUCCUUGAUCUCAAAUUCAUUUGUCAGUAAUUUUUUAAGUAAGUCGAUUUUCUCUUCAUGAUCACCUGUCAAAAUUAUGUCGUCCACAUAUACAAUGAUAAUUGUCAGUUUCCCUUCUGGGAAGUGUUUCACAAAUAAUGUGUGAUCGGAUUGACAUUGAACGAAUCCGUACCCUUUCACUACCUUAGUGAACCGUUCAAACCAGGCCCUGGGAGAUUGUUUGAGACCAUACAAGGAUUUUCGGAGUCUGCAAACCUUGUUGAAAUUUGAUGUCGUCUCAAGUCCAGCAGGAAUGUCCAUGUAAACUUCUUCCUCUAAGUCACCAUUGAGGAAGGCAUUCUUCACAUCAAGUUGGUGAAGCGACCAAUCGAGAUUAGCUGCCAAGGAUAAAAGUACACGAACAGUAUUAAGCUUGGCAACUGGAGCAAAAGUUUCUUGAUAGUCAAUGCCAUAGGAUUGGGUGAAUCCUUUGGCGACCAACCGAGCCUUAUACAUGUCCACAUUACCAUCUGCCUUGUACUUUAUUGUGAAAAUCCACUUACACCCAACUGGUUUCUUACCUCUUGGGAGGUCAGUAAUUUCCCACGUACCAUUCUUUUCCAACGCCCGAACUUCCUCAUCGACUGCCGCCUUCCACUUAGGAUACUUGAAAGCUUCCUGAAUAUUCUGAGGAACUUGUAUCUCUGUGAUGCUAGAAGUGAAUGCACGAAACGUAGGUGAUAGCUUAUCAUAAGAAAUAAAAUUUCCAAUGGGAUGCUGAGUGCGUGAUCUAACUCCUUUCCUCCAAGCUAUGGGCAUAUUAAGAAUAUCAUUUUCUAACUCGGAAUCAACAGUACCAUCAGGAGCGUUGUUACCUGGAAGUUUGCUUGGAUUAGGACCCGAUUCUGCCUCAUGGGUUUGUUGAGAAAGUGCUCUUUCCUCCGUUUCCUCUUGGAUGUGCUCCUUAUCCCACAAGUCAACAAUGGACUCGGGUUGAUUAAAUGACUCUGGAGGAAUGUGAUUUUCAGUGGUGAUGGGUGACUCACUGAAUGACUCAAGAUCCCAAAAUUGAUAUUCCUGAGUUGAAUUCUCCCCCUGAAUAUCAUUUUUUGGAAAGUAAGGUUGGGUUUCAAAAANNNNNNNNNNNNNNNNNNNNNNNNNNNNNNNNNNNNNNNNNNNNNNNNNNNNNNNNNNNNNNNNNNNNNNNNNNNNNNNNNNNNNNNNNNNNNNNNNNNNAGGAUCAAGUUUACUUCUAUGUUGUUGAUUGAUAUGAACAAAGACAGAGCACCCGAAAAUUUUGGGUGGGACGGUGGAGAUGAGACGAGUAGUCGGAAAGGAUUUUAGGAGUGUUUGACAAGGUGUUUGGAAUUUUAGUACCCUAGACGGCAUCCUAUUGAUGAGGUAGGCUGCCGUAAGGACAGCUUGCCCCCAGAAUAAUUUUGGAACAUUCAUGGAGAACAUUAGUGAUCUAGCCACCUCUAACAAAUGCCUAUUUUUCCUUUCAACGAUUCCGUUUUGUUGUGGGGUAUCAACACAUGAACUUAAGUGAACUAUCCCUUCUUGUGCUAGAAAUUCUCCUAGAAUGGAGUUGAAAUAAUCCCUAGCAUUAUCAGACUUUAGAAUUUGUAUUUUUGACUAGAAUUGGGUCUGAAUCAUAUUUUUAAAAUUUUUGAAAAUUUGACUCGUUUCAGAUUUUUCUUUCAUGAGGAAUACCCAAGUUAAUCUAGUGUGAUCAUCUAUGAAUGAGACAAACCACCUAGUACCAGUUACAUUUUUUAUUCUUGACGGACCCCAAAUAUCGCUAUGAAUCAUUGAGAAUGGACUAGACUCUUUAUAGGGUUGAAUGGGAAAAUGAGACCGGACUUGCUUUGAUAAUUGACAGAUUUCACACUCAAAGGAUUGUGGAUUUUUAUUAAAUAAUGAAGGAAAUAAAUGCUUGAGAUACAUAACAUUUGGAUGACCUAAGCGAUAGUGCCACAACCUAAUUGCAUUAUCGUUAUUUUGACAUGAAACCGAAAAAGAAUUACUACCAACUGUCAUUUGAGGUUGUUCUUAUGGAUCGUGGUGCUCCUUAAGGAUGUAGAGUCCAGAGCAUUCCUCAGCAUUGCCAAUCGUCUUCCCCGAAUCCAAAUCUUGAAAUUCACAGUGAGUGGAGGAAAAAUUAGUAAUACACCUCUUUUCCUUAGUGAGUUUACUAAUUGACAAUAAAUUACAGUCCAAGUUAGGAACAAGGAGAACAGAGUUGAGAGUAAGAUCCCUUGAUAGAUCUGCUAUUCGGACUGUUAAAUUAUUUGGACAUGAGCUAUAUGUGUCAAAAAUUGUCGCAUCUCCCGUCAUAUGAUCAGAUGCUCCUGAGUCCACUAUCCAAGGUUUUUUACGUUUCUUACCAGCAGUGAAGGCACUCAAAAAAUUACCUUUGUGAGCCAAGGUUCCGGAACCAAUGACCUGGUUGGAAGAUGAGCCAGUUUGUGACUGUACUGACAAAAGAGGAGAUAGUAGUUUCUGAAGCAUCUCCAUUUGCUCCUUAUUAAAAGGGCUAGCUUCAGGUUGUGGCGAUUGUUCAUCGAUAGCCACAUGAUUGCCUCGUCCUUCUUUCUCAAGUGGUUGACGUGGCUUCCAAUCUACUGGCUUUCCAUGAAUCUUCCAACAAGUUUCUCUUGAGUGUCCCGGCUUUCUGCAAUGAUCACACCAAGGUCUACCUCCUUUAAUUUUUUGACGGUUGUCAAAAGGAGCGAAUUGAGUCUUAAGAGCCGAGCUUUCUGCCAUAUUCAGUUGUUGAUGGGAUCCCAUCAUGAGAUUUUUCCGACUUUCUUCGCGACGGACUUCAGAGAAUGCCUCUCUGAGGCUAGGUAGGGGUUUACUCCCAUGAUUCUUCCUCUGAUUUCAUCAAGAUUUUUGUUCAAACCUAACAAAAAUUUAAACACACGUUUCCCUUCGACAAUCUUUUUAUACAAAAAACCAUCUGUAACACAAUUCCAGUUAUGAACCUCAAACGUAUCAAGUUGACGCCAUAGACGAGUAAGAGUAUUGAAAUAUUCAGUUACCGUAAGGUUUCCUUGACGCAAAUCGUGGAGGAUGCCUUCAAUCUGGAUGAUUUCAGAUGUGUUUUCCUUGUCUGAGAAAGUUUCUUUUGCAGUGUCCCAGAUUUCUUUGGCAGUAUCAAAUGACAGAAAAUUUUCACCAAUGUCAGCGGUCAUAGAGUUGACUAGCCAGGACAUGACCAUAUUAUUUUCUGCUAUCCACUUUUUGUAGGUUGAUGCUGUGGUUUCUGGUGCCGCCGAAGCUCCGGUGAUGUAGUCAUCUUUCUCCUUUCCCCGUAUAAACAUUAAUAUGGACUGAGACCAUUGCAAAUAAUUUUGCCCAUUCAGUUUAUGGGCUGUGAUUGGAAGAUGAGAGGUUUCCAUCUGAUGAGAGGAUGAAGACGAUGAGAUGAUGAUAUCAGAAGUAGAGGAUGAUGAGUUGGUAACCAUUCCAAAGGCUGGACCGUAUUUAGGCAUAAAUUAGAAUAAUGAAUUGAGUAAAAAAAAACUGACUAAAGAUGAAGACGAUGAGACAAGAUUAAAUCUGCUCUGAUACCAUGAAGAAUUUGAAGAAAAAUAUGAAGAAUUUGAAGACAAAAUAUGGAGGAACACCUCAAUUCAUUCUGUGAUACCUUCCUUUACAAUGAAUGAAAGCAUAAAUAAAUAGCCUACGGAUAUGAGACAAUUCCGGAAUGGAAUUUCCCUUACAUGGAAAGUGAAUAAACUCUUACAUGGGAAGUGAAUAAACUACUCUUACAUGGAAAGUGAAUAAACUACCUUGCUAGAAUUACUCCUAAAUAUAUAAACUACUCUUACAUGGAAAGUGAAUAAACUACCUUGCUAGAAUUACUCCUAAAUCAAUUAUAAUAAAGGUUGUACAUUACACUAAUUACAGAAGUAAACAGAGGAUGCUGGCUUGAUUUCCAACAGUUGAAUCUCUCAGCGCUCAUGUCAGGAACCCCCAAGGUGAGGUUCUUUUGCUCCACUGAUUGGUAGUGGCUUAACUUGUAGGAUUUCACAGUCAUGGAGCCGUCGGUCUGCUUGAAUGAGAUGAGUGACUGCACUCCGGCCCUGUCACUUCCACUGGGGAUUAUAGCCCAUGAAAUCCAGCUCUCAAACUCCGCCGGCGAUGACACAAAGGCAAUGGAAAGACUUCCAUCGGUGUCGUGCGUCCUGUGGAGGGAAGAACCCAUCGUAGGAAAGUCGCUACGACGUUGGAAGAGCUCAUUAUUACUGAAUUUAUGGGUAGCACAGUUACGCGGGACCAUGCAUGGCCAUGCAUGCGUCUAGGAAAGAAAUGAGAAAGGGAAUAUGUAAGGGAAUGUAUGGAAAAUGAGCGAGAGGGAUAUCGGGGAAAUGAGUUUAAUGGGUAUGUGCGAAGAUUUAAAGAGAGGAGUGGGUUUGAAGAUGGGCAUGGAGGAUACGUGGUGUAUGGGAAAUGGGUAUGAAGGGUACGUGGUGUAAGGAAAAUGGGUAUGAAGGGUAGGAAGUGUUGAAGGAUGAUAGGAGAUAGUGAGAUUGACAAGUAUGAAGGUUUUGGGUGGUGUUCAUGGAGAUUCCUUGCAUACAUGGUGGGAGUGGAAGCAACAAGGAGUACUCACAACAAACUGAACUUCAUUGUUCCUCUCACUUUUCCCAUAAGCUUGGCCAUAGUAUUUUUGAACUCUCUUAGGCCUCAUAUUUCCUGUGGCUAUUCUGUGAAGGCCAAAGGAUGGUGGGCCUAGAUUACUGGACGAAGAUAGCAUGGCUUGUGGGACAACUAAGCAUAUCCAAAAACCCCUUUGUAUUGCCUACAGAUGAAACCAGUGCAUGCUCAUGAACUUAUUUCCUUGCAUGCUCAGGAAUGAGACGUUGACGCAGUUCAGAAGUUGAGUGUACCAGCUCUUGAGUUAUGAAAUUGAAUAAAUGAGGAAGAGGCCGACCAUUUGACAAGCAGGCAUUUGGCUAUCUUAAAUCAUCAAAGAAGUAAUGUGUGCAUGAUUCUAGGGUGGUGCAUCUCAAAUUUGGCGAAUACUGGAGUAGCCUUAAUACAAGAUACACAACUUCUGGGAGCAUUUGCUUAUGGAAAAGCUUGUGCCAUGGGUGAGCUUUGAUUUGUGAAAACUUGAACUCAUUGUAAUUUGGAUUCAUGCACUUAAUUCUUCUCUAGUGGGUAUACCCAGAAUCCUAAUGAUUUCCACCAAUUGAUCAACACCACUUUCCUCAGGAAACAGUGUGUUAGCCUAAGGGUUCUCCUAAUCGGGUUUUGAUGAUAACAAACCAUGGUUAAGUGACUAAUUGGUUUAAAUGUUUAAGAAUCUCAGGUAUAAACUCGAAAAUUCAUCAAAGGACCAAAUGGAUANNNNNNNNNNNNNNNNNNNNNNNNNNNNNNNNNNNNNNNNNNNNNNNNNNNNNNNNNNNNNNNNNNNNNNNNNNNNNNNNNNNNNNNNNNNNNNNNNNNNAAUGCAUGAGUGUACUUAGGAUUUUCACAUGUUUCAUGCAUCUUUGAAAACUCGGUUUAUUAUUUAAAACGUCGAUUUCAUUAAAACCCGAGUUUUUAACUAAUGUACCUUAGGCAAAAUGUUUUAUAAUUGGCUUAAUAAUUUUCCUAAAGACCUUGCCUAAGUGUUAGAAAAGAAAGAAAUAAAAAAAAUAGGUUUUCGGGGCCAAAAAGGCUCAACCGGUCGAGGACCGGUUGAGGGAGGUAAAAAACCUUCUCUCUCUCCCAGUAGCCUUCUCUUCCCAAUUGAGGUGUUUCUCUUACCGGUCGAGGACCGGUUGAGGCAACGGUAACCUGUCAUGCAUUAAAUGCUCUAACGGCUAGUGAACCGGUCGGCCCUUAGCUCGACCGGACGAGGUUACCUUUUGCUGUUUUUGACUCUUGAGCUUAGAAACCUAUAAAUUGAAAGCUCUACUUCAUUUAUUGAUGAAAUAACACUUGCAUUCAAAGCCUACCUACCUGUUCUUGAUCAAAAAGCUCUCAUUUCUUUCAUAGUGCAUUAAAUCACCACUUGCAUAUCCUUUAGUGCACUCUUAUUUGUCAUCCUAGCUUUGUCUUGUAUUUGAGCCUUCCUUAAGCUAGGUUGAGUGAUUAUAUCUUGUAACAAUCUGAGUGUUAAAACCUUCAAGAGGGUUGAAUCUUGAAGAGGUUGUGUAAGAGCCCAUUGGAGCUGGAAUCCAAGUGUAAGAAGAUUGGAAGCUUGGUUGAAGCUUCAAGUUAGUGGAACCCUCACUCGGUUAGGAGGUUGAGGAGAGUGGACGUAGGCAAGGAAGUGUCAAACCACUAUAAACUCGAGUUUGAAUUCUCUAAACUCUAUCUCUUUACUUUGCUUAUAUUUUGUUUAAAUUUGUUGUGAUUGAAAAGAUUUGAAAAACCCAAUUCACCCCCCUCUCCUUUUGGGUGUUUUUCUUAACUAAGCAUAACCUUUGUUUUCUCACAGUGGUUGGCUAAGAAGAAGCUCAACCACAACUCAGCCUACAGACCACAUAUCAAUGGCAGUUAUAUAUUCUGUAACCCCAAAGAUAAGUUCUAGAGCCCUAUAAUACCUUGAGCAAAUAUAUGACAUGUUUGGUUCACCUGGCACCAACUCAUUGUGAUACUCAAUAAUGACUUGAGUCUUACCAUCAGGCUUCAGCCAUGAGCAAGUUCCAUUCUUCCUACCCUCAGUGAGGCGGGUACCAAGCUUGGUAGCAAGAGCAUAGCUCAAGGGCAUAAGUUCAAGGGUCCUAUUUUUAUUUUUAUUUUGCGGCUUUUUUGUAGCCUCCAAUGCAUGCAGUGAUAUUUUCCAUCCUUCAAAGCUGAAAAGGUAGGUGACCACCUCAUCAAUCAAACGACCUGCUUCCUUAGAUAUUUGGACAACAACUAGAGCAACAGUAGAUCCAUCAAUAGCAUAAACCACCUAGAAUAUGCUUAAUAGAAGGCUCCAAAUCUUCAACAAGUGUAAGAGGGUAGGAUUUAACCUUGCAUUGCAUUGCAACGUGAACAAUAGGUGAGGUAGAGAGCUUUAUUGCCAUGACUGGAUGAGCAUCAACUUCUUUCUCAUUGAUUAGUGUAACAUUCUUAGUAACGAAUUGAUCUAGAUGAACCAUAAUAACAGUAUUUCCACAAGACAUAGCUUGAGCAGUAUCCUGCUUAUUUCCUAUCCAAGAUCUUUGCACAAACCCAAAUCAACUGGAGGAACUUCAUUCACCCUCAACACUCACGAACUAUGUUCUAUGGCUGCAUUACCUAGCUUUCUUAGGUAGAGAUGUACAACCUAAUGUAUAAUGAGGCAAGAUACCAAAACAAGGGAAUGGAAAAACAAAACAAAGCACAAACUAACAAAGCAAAUAAAACAACCAAAGCCAUGUUUCAUGUUUAGAUCAACAGGCUUGGCUAUAGGUGAGUGAACUAGAAUGUAUCCCAUGGAAAUAAGAACAAAAACAAGGCUCCCACAUGAUGCAUAGUGAAGUUAAAGCAGAACUGUAUUGCUCUCAAAUCACACCCCCAAAAAAUGAUGGAGAUAGCAACAAUAAACCCAUAAACCAAGCGAGAAUUGUAAAACUAAAACACCUAAUCAAGCAAUCCACAAAAAUAUUGAGAAAAGAGAAAGAGACUAUAUGUCGAUAAAGAAAAUCAAAGAAUCCAUGACAGUCAUACCUUUCCUCUCUCCUUCUAUGGCUCUUCUCUGCAGAAAAAACUCUUUCUCUUCUUCCAUUCCCAAUUAUCUUCUCAAGUUCCUUUUUUUGGUUUAUUCCAAGCUACCCCCCAAAAUCUCUCUGUAACCCAAAAAAAAAAGUUGCCCCC
rnacentral:lncRNA from 1 species